rnacentral:rRNA from 1 species
AUGGCGAUGGCGAUGGCGGCCCUAAGACGCGAGGGGCGGCGUGUCCUCCUCAACACCCCCUCCCCGGCAGCCACCAUGGCUGCGCUCUCCCGGGCUGCCUCCCAGUCGCAGAUUGCUCCGCUUGGUGCACGGUCGAUCUCAACACAAAUUGUGAGGAACCGCAUGAAAAGUGUCAAGAACAUCCAAAAGAUUACGAAAGCAAUGAAGAUGGUUGCAGCAUCAAAGCUUCGUGCUGUUCAAACAAGAACUGAGAAUUCACGUGGUCUAUGGCAGCCAUUCACAGCUCUUCUUGGGGAUGCUCCUAGUGUAAAUGUCAAGAAGAAUGUUAUUGUAGCCAUUACAUCUGACAAGGGUCUCUGUGGUGGUAUCAAUUCUACAUCUGUUAAAGUCAGCAAAGCACUCCAGAAAAUGACUUCUGGUCCAGAGAAAGAAAGCAAGUAUGUCAUAUUAGGAGAAAAGGGGAAAGUUCAACUCAUCCGUGACUCCAGGAAGCAUAUUGAAAUGACAGUAUCUGAGUUGCAGAAAAACCCUAUCAAUUACACACAGGUUGCUGUGCUGGCAGAUGAUAUCUUGAAAAAUGUUGAAUAUGAUGCUAUAAGAGUUGUUUUUAACAAGUUUCAGUCUGUCAUUUCAUUUAGGCCUACACUGGCCACAAUACUGUCCCCAGAGGUUAUGGAGAAAGAAUCAGAAUCUGGCGGGAAGGUUGGUCAGCUGGAUUCGUAUGAAAUUGAAGGAGGUGAAACAAAAUCAGAAAUCCUGCAGAAUCUUACCGAGUUCCAGUUUUCUUGUGUUAUGUAUAAUGCUGUUCUAGAGAAUGCGUGCAGUGAGCUUGGUGCCCGUAUGUCUGCUAUGGACAGCUCCAGCAGAAAUGCCGGUGAAAUGCUUGACCGUCUUACACUGACAUACAACAGGACACGUCAAGCAUCUAUCACUACUGAGCUCACUGAGAUCAUAUCGGGUGCCUCUGCUCUUGAGGGAUGA